AAUUUUGCUCAUAAUUUGUAUUAUAUUUUAAAGCAUUUGAAGGUUGAGGAGCACGCAUCAAAUGAAAACGGAAGCAAGAAAAGUGAAAAUGAAGAUGGCAAAACAUCAAAUGGACUUCCUAAAACACACCUAUCGAAACAAGUCCAAGAUCAGCUGACAAAUAUCUUCCAGAAAAUAGGAUCACAAGAAGAAACCAAAGUGGGCUUAAAUCUGUUGUAUGACCUUAUGUGUGAAAACCCUGACAUCAGCAUUGAACCACACUUAUCCAAGUCAAGUAAGUUCUUCCAAGACUACAUUCACCAAGGACUUCAAACUAUCAAAGAAGAACGCAAAAAAACAAACAGGCUGGACUUAUCAGGUGAGAUGGGCCUAAAUGAUUUUUUUGUAAAUUUCUUUGACCUCACUAAUCUCCUUAUAAUCCCUGUUCAUGAAUCCUAAAUUUUGCUGGUCUAAUAGAAGAUUAAGGAAAACGUGCAAGUACCAAAAAUGAAAAGUUGCAUUGAGUCAAAAAUUUAAAUCCUCGCACACAAAAACAUUGCGCAACUAUCACAACUUCACCAAGUACCAAGCUCCAGUCAUACAUCAUCAUAAGCACAUAAUUUAUUCUGUCCUAAAAAAGAAUACCUUUUUUCAUGUGAUAUGUUGUUAGGAUUACAAAUCUUCCCUUUUAUUUCACUGAAGAACCAAAUCGCUCAGCCAUUAAUCACUCAAAUGUUCGCUGGUUUUUUCUUUAUUUUGAUUACGACAUUGCCUAUCACCUCAUGGUAAUCAAUAAGCACUAGGAUUUUUACUUGUCCUUGUUUUUUAUUUUCAGGAAAAGAAGGCGAGAGUAAAACAUUUUAUGAGAAUAACGGGAACUUUGAAGGAAAAAAUGAUGACGGGGAUGAAUUCUUAAGGUACAAGAAACGACUCGAAGGUCUCCAAGCUCAAUUCAGCUCUACUCCUACUCCUCUACGCCCAAACUCUCUGCCCUAAGUCCGAAUCCUAAAAUCUCCCAAAACAAUGACUCCAAUUCUCUGUUUGCCUCCAAAAUAUCAACUCUAACAAACAGACUGUAAGUUAUAUCGUGUUUUGGUAUUUUUAUAUAUUUUUUUAUCUGAAGGUCACUUGGAAUGAAAUGAGUCACAAGUCAAUUUAAUUGUACAUUAAAGGAUUGCUUCUUUCUUUCAUACGCUCAGCAUCAUCAGCUUUACACAUCCAUUCCUACUGUGCCAGGGAAAUAGGCUAAAGAGGGACAAAUUUUUACCAACAAUUGGAAAAAGCUCUAAACAGGUCUCGUCAGGUGGUUUUGUUGUGAGGCGCACUGUCAAACAAAACUCCUUUGUCAUUAUGACUGACAUAACAUGCAAUACUUUAAAAUAAAUGCUUGGAUUCCUCUCUGUUUCUGUUGGAGGAUGGGUAAUACUUCUGAUUUCUGUUUCAGGACUCAUCGGCCGAGUUGACAUUCGAAGCAAUCCAGCAAAGACUAGCCAGAGUUCAGCUGGAUCAUCCAAACAAGAACUUGUUUCAAUAAUUCUGAGCAAUCAAGACUUGUUGAUAUAUCAGAAAAGUAUUUUUGUAUAUUUAUUCCACGUUUAAUUUUUAAUUUCUUGUAAAUUAUUCUUCCCGUGUAAAUUAUUUAUUAUUUUUAAUAUUAAUUUAGAAUUAAACUCGCAUUAACGUAGUGUUAGAACUGUUUCAAAUUCCGAGGCAGUCGAGGCGUAACUCUUAUUAGAAUUAAUGCGAUAGAGUUAGUUUUGUGAUUGCAUUGUGCCCUUUUGUCUCAUUAGUCAAAAAAUUAAUUUGCCUGAUAUUGUUAAUCCAGUUAGUAUUUUUGUUCAAAUAAAGGUAUUUUGUUCGAUUCAAAAAGAUUACCAGCUCCCGAGUUUGAAAUACCAUGCUCAGGAAUGAAGUAAGUUCUAUGGUGCAUUGCAAUUUAUUUUUAGUAUUUUUUCUACUUGUGAAAACGGAUUUAUUAGACUCUAAGGAAAGCAGGAUUAUUGUUCUUGUAUGAAUCUGUAUGAGGCAUUAUCCAACAUAAUCGUACUCACAUAUUAAGUAAUUUUCAUGUUGACUUUGAAUUUCCUCAUUUUUCAGACUAGGGAUAAAAGCAGCUAUUGUGAUAGAUUUAGUUGAAUAGCCAAGUCUAGAAUACCUUGAGCCAGUAUAAGAAAAGUUGUUCAACUACCCAAGUAGCAUUCAGUUUCCCAACUCUACUUUAAUGACGGAAACUACUUGGUGGGAAUUAAUUAAGAUAUUCAACUGAAGCUAUCCAUAAAUGUUGUCAUUUGUAUGGCUUCUUUUCCAAUUAUUAGACUCCUCUUCCUCUUCUUGUCGUUAAGGUGGAUCUUUUGCACUUUGGAGAACGAUUCAGUUGUUGAUCGAUCAAUUGAUAAUCCUUGGAUUUUAGAGCAUUUCUGAAGAAUUUCCAUGCAACACAUCCCAUCACGCUCUAAUGUGUCAGGUAUUUUUACACAAAAUUUGACCAAUAAUCAAUUUGAAACAGCUUCAAAAGUACCUGAGUGAAUAUUGCAAAUCGAAUGGUAAAAAUAUUAGCAAAUAUUAAAUCGGGACUCAUUUUCGGAGUUAUUUAGAAGUGCCUCUUGGUAAAAUUGAGUACACAAAUAUCUGACGCUUUUCAUCAUGAAGUGAUGCUCCGAAAUUCUUUAGGAAUGUCCCAAAAUAUGGAAAUCAUCAAUAGAUGGACUGACUAUCGAAUUGCUCUACGAAGUGCCGAAAAACCAUGUUAAGUGAAUCCCCUCCCUCCUUGGCAAAAAAAAAAAUAAAUAAAUUGAUGGUAGUAUCUUUGUCUUCUCUUUCCUCCUCUCAGUUCAAUUACCAACAGAGUUAUAAAUUUAAAAAUUAGAGGAGAUUCUUAUAUAAGAAUAAUAUUUUAAAUCGAAUUAUGAGAACUGUACUAUAACAAUAUUUUUAUGAAAGUGCUAGUAUUGAUUGCAUUAAUUGGAACGUUUGAAAUUCGUUUUUCUUGCCAUCCAUUGAUAAAUUUUUUCACUUCUCUCAAUCUGUACAUAAAUAAGAGAGAAAAGAACGGAACUUAUUUUUUGAGCAAACCUUGUUUAUUAUCUAUGGAAAUGUGUCAGGAGUCUCAUUUUUGACCCUUGUUUUUUUUUUAUUAGAAAAAAUCGAUCACCUUACCUGUAUUGAAAAUUUUGAACAAACUUUAACUUCCCUCAGUAUUAGUGUUACUUACCUUGAAACCAUCAAUUUUUUUUUUAUUUGUUAUCAUCAUAGAGCUGAGAAAAAUGCUGCCCACUAACCUGAGAUGCUUCUCAAGUCAAAUGUAAAUCAAGUUUUAGAAUGGAACUUCGUGUGAUGAUGUUUCAGAUUGUUUUGGGUAUGUACAUGCAUUUCUGUGUUUGGGUCAAGAUCCAGACAUAUUCGGAUCGAAAAAGCAGCCCUAAUACUUUGAUAAUAACAAAUGACAGAUGUGUUCUACUAAUAGUAGUGAAUAAAAAAUAAUCACUCAGAUAAGUUACUAAGUCUCGAGAGCAGAUUUGAACUUCUAAUCUUCUAAAUAUAAAUUCAUAUCUUAAAUGUCAUGCAAGAUCUUUUUGAUGGCAGAAAUGCAAGCUUAUCUAUCAAAGAUACAUCUCUUGUUCGGAUUAGAUAUGAAUGUGUCCAAAUUAUCGGAAAAAUCAUCACACAAAGUUCCAAGCUGAAAUCCCAUUUCCAUUUUGAAAUGUCUGUUUGAGAGCACAUAUAUGUUAUUGAUUUUAGAAACCGUUCUUCGAUUAUAAAGCAGAGUUGUUUGUAUUUGCUCAAAAGAUUUGUGAACUUAUAUUUUGAAAAAUAAAUUUUAUGAAUAUUAAGACUUCUGUUAUGCUCUUCCUUUAGCUUGAAAAUGAUGUGGAAUAUUCUAGCACUGGGAACCUUAAUAAUGACAGUGUUACGAAAAAUCCAAGAUUUCUCCUGAAGAGGUUGCUGCUAAUAAUUUGUAUAGAAGUCUCUUCUCUUAUAAAAAUUUCAAAGCCCUCUAGAUGGGAGGUGUAAUUUGCAGAUCUACCCACUAUCUCCUCACUGAAUUAAUUUGGUUUGAAACCUACUAAUUUCCAGUGUUCUUCUGUUGACCUGAAAUGAACAGUUAAAAGUUAAGAUUAUUGUGGUCAAGAGUAGGUCUGUGCAAAUUAGUAAGCUUUGUUGGAAUUAUUGGUAUACCUAUGGUGUAACUUCAAAGGCUAGUAUCUCAAUUUUUGCCGGUGUUGAGUAAGCCGCACAGACAAUCUGUAGCACAUGUCUUUUAUCUGCCAAAAAAAUGUUGUAGUCAUUAAAAAAAUCUUUCAGUUACACAAAAACGUAAUUCUAGCUCCUUGUUUUGAUGCUACUGCGCCAAAAACGUAUACCUCAGUUUUUUCUCAUCAUUUACAACCAUUGACAAUAUGUUUAACAAUGCGUGCAGUGCCAAUGAGCAUCUCAUGAUUGCCAUCUUUUGUAUCUCUCACCUUCCCACCUCUAAAGAAAAGGAAUGAAGACUGUUAUUUUGCUCUCCCAAUACCUUGACGUAGUGCCACCCGUUUUCAACCUAGUUAAAGGAACAAAUUUUGAUAACAAUCCCAUGAGGUUGUCAAAAAAGGCAUCUUCUAUGACCAGCAAGGAUUUUGACACUCGGAUAAUCAUGAAAUUGAAUGCAUCAAAAUUGCAAUUU
rnacentral:lncRNA from 1 species